rnacentral:sRNA from 1 species
AAUUUCAAAAAUUGCUUUAGGUAAAAUUUUUUAUAAUCCAGAUAUGCCAUUAAUUAA